AGGAGGACGCUGGUCACACCGCGUUUCUGAAGCUUUCGAUUCCUCUUCGGCUCUGCUCUCUGCAGCCGCCCUGCCUUCCCUCUGCGCGUCUGAGCCGAGUCCCCGGCGCCCAGGGGCGGGGCGGCGGGGUGGGGACACUCAUGGACCCCCCAGCGAGGACCUGCUGGGUGCGACUACAUGGUCACCCGAAGGACCCUGAGAGAGGGGCAGCUGUAGGGGGUCCUUGAAGAGGGUCUGACUGCGGGGUUUGUGAGCGUCAGCGCGGGGGAGGCUUGGGCCUGGAAAGAUGGGGGAGAUCUGGCCGAUAGAGACGUGAGUGCCCCAGAAAGGGGGGCCGAGGUGGUGGAGGCGGGCGCGCGGCUAGCUGGGGUCCAGGACAGGAGGGGCGGGAGGCAGCCGGGAAGGCCUCAGGCAGGGCCAGCGAGCAGCACCUCCUGCAGCCUGCCAAGUGCAGGUACGAGGCCACCCCUGCCCUCACCUAUGUGUGACGCGUCGAGGUAACCUUUCUGAGCGUUGACUUGUCCACAUAUGCCAGUGGGGCAAUCUCUGAGGGUGAUGAACAUGUGUAACAUAUGGGAAGCUGUAUAGUGGCCUUCCCAGCGUGGCUGCUUCAUAAACUUAGUCCCUUUCCCUCCUGGAGGAAGGAAGUCAACCCAGAGGCUUCUCACUAAUGGGCACUUUCCUAGCACAGCUUCAGCGUUUCUUUGUGCUGGAGCAAGUGCAGUUGCCAAGACCGCAGAGGAAGGGGGUGGAGGAAUGGCCUCAGCCAUCUCAGAGGACGGCACUUGUUGCCCCCAGUGCCACUGGCCAAAGACCUUUUCAAUUACACCAGACGCAUUGGCUCUAGGCAGCCUCAGCUUCCUGUCACCACGGACUCUGUUUAAUGUCUCAGCUGGACUUGGCUGCAUCAGAGAUUGCAGGGAAUAUGGCUGGUCCACUUGGGUGGAUUUGCACAUGGCCAUCCUGUACAUGUGCCCUUCUGCCAGCCUGGCAGCCUCUCCCUUCGUCUGCCUUUUCCUUGGAAGUGCAUCAGCAGGGGGAGCUGGAUCUAUCCUCAACCUAAUGGAAAGCAGACGUCCCCGCACGCAGAGGAGCAGGCUGCCUUGCAGGGUUUUUCUGGAAUAGCUCAGAUGGUUGUUAUUUUAUUCAUUGGAAUGGAGAUGAAUUGCUAAAUGUACCAGUUAAAUGUGAUUUAAAUUGUAUAUCUUUGUCAAGUUUUUCACAUAAAUUCACUCAUUAAAAAAAAAUUCUUUGCACAGAC
rnacentral:lncRNA from 1 species